CGCCGGUUAACUUCCUACUCGCCACCCAGCGUUAUUCGGGAGGAGCGCCAAGCGUUAAUCGGAAUUUAUGGGCGUAAAACGCGCGUAGGUGGCUUGAUAAGCUCUGUUGUGACAGCCCCGGGCUCAACCUGGGAACCGGCAUCCGGAUCUGUCAGGCUAGAGUGCAGGAGAGGAAAGGUAGAAUUCCCGAUGUAGCGGUGAAAUGCGUAGAGAUCAGGAGGAAUACCAGUGGCGAAGGCGGCCUUCUGGACUGACACUGACACUGAGGUGCGAAAGCGUGGGUAGCAAACAGGAUUAGAUACCCUGGUAGUCCACGCCGUAAACGAUGUCGACCAGCCGUUGGGUGCCUAGCGCACUUUGUGGCGAAGUUAACGCGAUAAGUCGACCGCCUGGGGAGUACGGCCGCAAGGUUAAAACUCAAAUGAAUUGACGGGGGCCCGCACAAGCGGUGGAGCAUGUGGUUUAAUUCGAUGCAACGCGAAGAACCUUACCUACCCUUGACAUCGACAGAAGCCGAGAGAGAUCUUGGUGUGCCUUCGGGAACUGUCAGACAGGUGCUGCAUGGCUGUCGUCAGCUCGUGUUGUGAAAUGUUGGGUUAAGUCCCGUAACGAGCGCAACCCUUGUCCUUAUUUGCCAGCGCGUAAUGGCGGGAACUCUAAGGAGACUGCCGGUGACAAACCGGAGGAAGGUGGGGACGACGUCAAGUCAUCAUGGCCCUUACGGGUAGGGCUACACACGUGCUACAAUGGCCGGUACAAAGGGCAGCGAGCUCGCGAGAGUCAGCGAAUCCCUUAAAGCCGGUCUCAGUCCGGAUCGGAGUCUGCAACUCGGCUCCGUGAAGUCGGAAUCGCUAGUAAUCGUGAAUCAGAA
rnacentral:rRNA from 1 species